GCUGCGGUAGUGUAAUGGUCAGCAUGAUUGCCCAGUAAGCAAGAAGACCUGGGUUCGAGUCCCAACUGCAGUA